UUCAUUUCGUGCGGGUCUCCUUCUGCCUCGUCUUCGGUGGAGGCGCCUCGGGGUGCAGCAGGAGGGCCGAAGUCGUCCUGAAUGAGCUCGCGAUGAGGCCGUCGGAUUCCAGACGCGAAGCGCAAGACGAGGCCUGCGGCGGCGGAGGGGAGGGCGGGAGGGAAGGAUCCGCCACGCCGCCGGCCUUGCGAGCUCCUGGCCAUUUGAUCGCUCGGGUCUUCUCACAGCUCGAUUGCGUAGAUCUCCUCAACUGCGCCCUCGUCUGCAAACAAUGGUAUAGGGAUUCGGCAGUGCUAAGGGAAGGUUGGAAGAAUGAAUACUUUGAGGCAUGGAAUCUGUAUGGGCUGUGCAUUAAAAGAGAGACGCAUCCACCAUCGUCCAAUUGCUCCAUAAGAGGUGCGCACAGUUGGUGCCCUUGAAUUCCCUUUCUUCUUAAGACAGCAUAACACAUUCAGCAUCUGAGGCGGCACAUCUCUGCAAUGCAAAAUAGUGUGUGCUUCCUGCGCCUAUGCUGUAUGUAUAUAUGUCUUCAUGUGAGAUGGUGACAUAUUUUGUCACUCAUUGAUUCAAUGAAGAAUUGGACCAAUCUACUUCAGAAACCAAUGUAUAUCUCAUGUAAUACCUGAAAAUAGGUUGGGUGCACAAGAAUUUUUGUUUGGUUACGUUGCUAAUAGAACAAUAUGAUCCCUUUUCUGAUAGAA